CCGAUCCCGUACGUUACUGUCUACGACACCUUUUUUCCGGAAGUGACCUGCCGAAGGAUCAGUUUUUUGGGGAGGUGCCCUGCAAAAGGAUCCCUUUCUUGGUGAAUAGCCGUAGUAAUUCUAGAGCUAAUACAUGCGUCAAUACCCUUCUGGGGUAGUAUUUAUUAGAUUGAAACCAACCCCUUCGGGGUGAUGUGGUGAUUCAUAAUAAGCUUGCGGAUCGCAUGGCUUUGCCGGCGAUGGAUCAUUCAAGUUUCUGCCCUAUCAACUUUGGAUGGUAGGGUAUUGGCCUACCAUGGCUUUAACGGGUAACGGGAAAUUAGGGUUUGAUUCCGGAGAGGGAGCCUGAGAGACGGCUACCCCAUCCAAGGAAGGCAGCAGGCGCGUAAAUUACCCAAUCCUGACCAGGGAGGUAGUGACAAUAAAUAACAAUGCCGGGCCUUUGUAGGUCUGGCAAUUGGAAUGAGAACAAUUUUAAACCCCUUUAUCAAGUAUCAAUUGGAGGGCAAGUCUGGUGC
rnacentral:rRNA from 1 species